AAGCCAGCCAGUGAGUCUGCUGACCUGAAUUUCUCUGCAGAAAUUCAGAGAAAGCUGGCAAUAGUAAAGCCAUGUUACAAGCGUUAAAGACAUGGAAGUCAUUAAGGUCCCUGAAAAUGGCUGUAAGA
ensembl:snoRNA small nucleolar RNA SNORA33